AAGUUUAGGUUGAUCUAAACCGAGAGCCUUCAAAGCCCUAAACAGGGCUCACAACCCUAACUUCUG
rnacentral:tRNA from 1 species